rnacentral:rRNA from 1 species
GAUGAACGCUGGCGGCGUGCCUAAUACAUGCAAGUCGAGCGAACGGACGAGAAGCUUGCUUCUCUGAUGUUAGCGGCGGACGGGUGAGUAACACGUGGAUAACCUACCUAUAAGACUGGGAUAACUUCGGGAAACCGGAGCUAAUACCGGAUAAUAUUUUGAACCGCAUGGUUCAAAAGUGAAAGACGGUCUUGCUGUCACUUAUAGAUGGAUCCGCGCUGCAUUAGCUAGUUGGUAAGGUAACGGCUUACCAAGGCAACGAUGCAUAGCCGACCUGAGAGGGUGAUCGGCCACACUAGAACUGAGACGCGGUACAGACUCCUACGGGAGGCAGCAGUAGGGAAUCUUCCGCAAUGGGCGAAAGCCUGACGGAGCAACGCCGCGUGAGUGAUGAAGGUCUUCGGAUCGUAAAACUCUGUUAUUAGGGAAGAACAUAUGUGUAAGUAACUGUGCACAGCUUGACGGUACCUAAUCAGAAAGCCACGGCUAACUACGUG